rnacentral:rRNA from 1 species
UACGGAGGGUGCGAGCGUUGUCCGGAAUCACUGGGCGUAAAGGGCGCGUAGGCGGCAUGACAAGUCACUUGUGAAAUCUCUGGGCUUAACCCAGAACGGCCAAGUGAUACUGUCGCGCUAGAGUGCAGAAGGGGCAAUCGGAAUUCUCGGUGUAGCGGUGAAAUGCGUAGAUAUCGAGAGGAACACCAGAGGUGAAGACGGGUUGCUGGGCUGACACUGACGCUGAGGCGCGAAAGCCAGGGGAGCAAACGGG